AAUAGAUACCCUGGUAGUCCACGCCGUAAACGAUGAGUGCUAAGUGUUAGAGGGUUUCCGCCCUUUAGUGCUGCAGCUAACGCAUUAAGCACUCCGCCUGGGGAGUACGGUCGCAAGAUUAAAACUCAAAGGAAUUGACGGGGACCCGCACAAGCGGUGGAGCGUGUUGUUUAAUUCGAUGGUAAGCGAAGAACCUUACCCAGACUUGACAUCCUUGGAAGGCUUCCGAAAGGAAACUGUGCCCUUGGGAACCAAGUGACAGGUGUUGCAUGGCCGUCGUCAGCUCGUGUCGUGAGAUGUAUGGUUAAGUCCAUUAACGAGCGCAACCCUUAUGUUUAGUUGGAUUUUUCUAAACAGACUGCCCUGGCAACAGGGAGGAAGGAGGGGAUGACGUCAGGUCAGUAUUGCCCUUACGUCUGGGGCUACAAACACGCUACAAUGGCCGGUACAAAGGGCAGCCAACCCGCGAGGGGAGCAAAUCCCAUCAAAACCGGUCUCAGUUCGGAUUGCAGGCUGAAACUCGCCUGCAUGAAGCCGGAAUCGCUAGUAACGGUG
rnacentral:rRNA from 1 species